UACGGGGGGAGCAAACGUUGUUCGGAAUCACUGGGCGUAAAGGGCGUGUAGGCGGCUGAAUAAGUGGGAUGUUAAAUCCCCCGGCUCAACCGGGGACCUGCAUCUCAUACUGUUCAGCUCGAGCACAUCAGAGGAGACUGGAAUUCCCGGUGUAGCGGUGAAAUGCGUAGAUAUCGUCUGGAACGCUGGUGGUGAAGACGGGUGACUGGGCCGGUUCUGACACUGAGGCACGAAAGCGUGGGGAGCGAACGGG
rnacentral:rRNA from 1 species